rnacentral:rRNA from 1 species
GACGAACGCUGGCGGCGUGCCUAAUACAUGCAAGUAGAACGAGUUGCGAACGGGUGAGUAACGCGUGGUAACCUGCCUCAUCGCGGGGGAUAACUAUUGGAAACGGUAGCUAAUACCCCAUACCAUCAGAUGUGCCCAAAUGGGAUUAGCUAGUUGGUGGGGUAACGGCUCACCAAGGCGACGAUCCCUAGCUGGUCUGAGAGGAUGACCAGCCAAACUGGAACUGAGACACGGUCCAGACUCCUACGGGAGGCAGCAGUGGGGAAUAUUGGACAAUGGGCGCAAGCCUGAUGCAGCCAUGGCGCGGUGAUGAAGAAGGCCUUCGGGUUGUAAAGUACUUUCAGCGGGGAGGCGUUACCCGCAGAAGAAGCACCGGCUAACUCCGUGCCAGCAGCCGCGGUAAUUC